CGAGCAAAAAACGGUGAAACUUCGGCACCUUUUCGUCCUUCCUCAGCAAUCGACCAAAUCCUCGCUCGCCUCACCUCGUCAAUCCCCCCUCCCCCAGCGUUUUAAUUCGGAAGAAAUUGGAGCAACGACGAGCGACUCGAGGGAGGAAAUCUGCCACCCCGUGCGUCUCGCCGCCCUCCCAAAUCUGAGAGCGUUCCUAGGACCUAGGGUUCGCGAGAUCCAGCCCCGGGAUGGAUCCGAACCCUAGAGCUCCCCUCCUCCUCCUCGCCGUCGUCGUCCUCCUCGCGCUCGCCGCAUCCGUGGCGGCGGCCGCCGAGGACGACGCAUCGGGGAUCUCGCUGGGCCGCCGCGCCGGGGGGUUCCUGCACGGCCUGAAGAAGAAGGACGCGGUGGUGGAGGGCGACCAUGGGGUGGCGCUCGACGAGGUCGGCCCGGGGCUGUUCGAUGCGCUCUUCGCCAGUCUCUCCAUGAUCCUAGUCAGUGAGAUUGGAGAUGAAACAUUUAUCAUUGCUGCGCUGAUGGCGAUGCGACACCCCAAGUCAAUUGUUCUGUCCGGUGCACUCUCUGCACUUUACGUGAUGACGGUACUGUCAACUGGACUAGGUAGAAUAGUACCCAACUUGAUAUCAAGGAAACACACUAAUAGUGCUGCUACAGUUUUGUACUUGUUCUUUGGACUACGGUUGUUGUAUAUUGCUUGGAAGUCUGACCCAAAGGGAUCUCAGAAGAAGGAAAUGGAAGAAGUGGAAGAGAAGCUUGAGUCCGGUCAAGGAAAAUCAACUGCUCGUAGGUUCUUUGCAAGAUUUUGUACACCAAUCUUUUUGGAGGCUUUCAUCUUAACCUUUUUAGCUGAAUGGGGCGAUCGAAGCCAAAUAGCAACAAUCGCGCUGGCCACCCACAAGAAUGCUAUCGGAGUUGCAGUUGGAGCAUCACUGGGGCACACAGUGUGUACAUCUCUUGCAGUGAUAGGAGGGAGUAUGUUGGCAUCAAAGAUUUCGCAACGAACAGUAGCGACAAUUGGAGGUGUUCUCUUCUUGGGGUUUUCUGUUUCAUCCUACUUCUACCCUCCGUUGUGAUGGAAAGGUGUUCAUCCGUGUACUGGGCGCCGAGCAGAGACUUGCGAGGACGGCAAGGGUGCAGCCGGCCGUCAUAACCAACGAACUGAUGGCCGCAGCUACCUCCAUCUCCUCCAUCCGUAUAACCACCAUAACCACCUCCAUUCUUUGACUGCCUUCCCGUGCACUCCACACCUCUCUCCCUUUCUCAUCCUCUCUCUCACACUACAUAUAUAACACUGACCGACCAAACCCAGGCACUACUCACAGUAGUCACAACACUUGCUCCCUGCCUCGCCAUCAGCUGCAAGCAUGACACCGAUCAGUGAGCAUCAACAGCCCAAGGAACUGGGAACACAAGCUGCAACAAGCCAUGAUGCUCCAGUUCCAAGUGAGGAAGUGGCAAUUGGUGAUGCCGGGAAUGCCGACCAAGAGGAGCAGCGGAGGCAAGCAGCGAGGCGGGAGCGGGAUUUCCUGGCGGGGAUCAGAAAGCUCAUCAAGAGCUUCAAGAGCCUUUCCCACAUCUUCGAGAUAUACAAGGAGGAGGACGAGGACGACGAUGACAUGGAUGGCGGCAUCGAAAUCGGGUUCCCCACAGAUGUGCAGCACGUGGCGCACAUCGGCCUUGACGGGUCCACCAGCGUGUCCUCCAGCCUGAGGGGGCUGGAGGGGGCCAGGGAGCUGCUCUCCCUCUCCAACCUCACCACCCUCGAGCAGUUCGAGCUCGCCAUGGCCAAGCUCGCUGCUACUCCCAGCAAGGAGCACGAUGGGGUGUUAGACAGAGCAGCCUCCCGUGAUUAAUUUUGAUUUUUAUAUAUAAUAGGACGCACAUAGUGUUUGUGAUCAUGGAUAAGGCUCUUGUUUUCUUCUUGUUUUUGUUCAUGCUUUUGCUUUUGGGAAAAAUACUGUUUUGUCCUGUGCCUUGCGGUUUUUGAAAUGGAGCUGAAGGUUAUUUCCAUUUUGGUAAA